rnacentral:rRNA from 1 species
UGGGGAAUAUUGGACAAUGGGGGCAACCCUGAUCCAGCAAUGCCGCGUGUGUGAAGAAGGCCUUCGGGUUGUAAAGCACUUUUAUCCGGAACGAAACGCGCAGGGCGAAUACCCUUGCGAACUGACGGUACCGGAGGAAUAAGCACCGGCUAACUUCGUGCCAGCAGCCGCGGUAAUACGAAGGGUGCAAGCGUUACUCGGAAUUACUGGGCGUAAAGGGUGCGUAGGUGGUUGUUUAAGUCUGUUGUGAAAGCCCCGGGCUCAACCUGGGAAUGGCAAUGGAUACUGGACAGCUAGAGUGCGGUAGAGGGUAGUGGAAUUCCCGGUGUAGCAGUGAAAUGCGUAGAGAUCGGGAGGAACACCAGUGGCGAAGGCGGCUACCUGGACCAGCACUGACACUGAAGCACGAAAGCGUGGGGAGCAAACAGGAUUAGAUACCCUGGUAGUCCACGCCCUAAACGAUGCGAACUGGACGUUGGGAGCAACUUGGCUCUCAGUGUCGAAGCUAACGCGUUAAGUUCGCCGCCUGGGGAGUACGGUCGCAAGACUG